UUUAUGGAGAGUUUGAUCCUGGCUCAGGAUGAACGCUGGCGGCGUGCCUAAUACAUGCAAGUCGAGCGAACGGACGAGAAGCUUGCUUCUCUGAUGUUAGCGGCGGACGGGUGAGUAACACGUGGAUAACCUACCUAUAAGACUGGGAUAACUUCGGGAAACCGGAGCUAAUACCGGAUAAUAUUUUGAACCGCAUGGUUCAAAAGUGAAAGACGGUCUUGCUGUCACUUAUAGAUGGAUCCGCGCUGCAUUAGCUAGUUGGUAAGGUAACGGCUUACCAAGGCAACGAUGCAUAGCCGACCUGAGAGGGUGAUCGGCCACACUGGAACUGAGACACGGUCCAGACUCCUACGGGAGGCAGCAGUAGGGAAUCUUCCGCAAUGGGCGAAAGCCUGACGGAGCAACGCCGCGUGAGUGAUGAAGGUCUUCGGAUCGUAAAACUCUGUUAUUAGGGAAGAACAUAUGUGUAAGUAACUGUGCACAUCUUGACGGUACCUAAUCAGAAAGCCACGGCUAACUACGUGCCAGCAGCCGCGGUAAUACGUAGGUGGCAAGCGUUAUCCGGAAUUAUUGGGCGUAAAGCGCGCGUAGGCGGUUUUUUAAGUCUGAUGUGAAAGCCCACGGCUCAACCGUGGAGGGUCAUUGGAAACUGGAAAACUUGAGUGCAGAAGAGGAAAGUGGAAUUCCAUGUGUAGCGGUGAAAUGCGCAGAGAUAUGGAGGAACACCAGUGGCGAAGGCGACUUUCUGGUCUGUAACUGACGCUGAUGUGCGAAAGCGUGGGGAUCAAACAGGAUUAGAUACCCUGGUAGUCCACGCCGUAAACGAUGAGUGCUAAGUGUUAGGGGGUUUCCGCCCCUUAGUGCUGCAGCUAACGCAUUAAGCACUCCGCCUGGGGAGUACGACCGCAAGGUUGAAACUCAAAGGAAUUGACGGGGACCCGCACAAGCGGUGGAGCAUGUGGUUUAAUUCGAAGCAACGCGAAGAACCUUACCAAAUCUUGACAUCCUUUGACAAC
rnacentral:rRNA from 1 species